rnacentral:misc_RNA from 1 species
GCCAAUAAUGAUACUACUUGCGGUGCAGACCCCAACAAGAACGAAGUCCUCACCCUCUCUCGCUCUUUGAUUAAUCAAACCCUCGUUUUAGCUCUCUCUCUCAUCUGGGGUUACUGUUUCCUUUACAAACACUUUCUCUGUCACUCUGCACCUUCCUAUUCCAUGUCAAGUCUCGCUUGCUAGGCUCUGCACACACAGCUAAGUUGAAUUUCUUCUUAUAAAAGAAUACUAGUAUUUGUUUCCCAAAUGAGUGACUCCACUGAUGAAGCCAAGCACAUCGAGAAGCUCUACGAGUUCGGCGAGAGACUCAAUGAGUCCAAGGACAAGUCUCAGAAUGUGAAGGAUUACCAGGG